UACAGAGGGGGCGAGCGUUGUUCGGAAUUACUGGGCGUAAAGGGCGCGUAGGCGGCCUUCUAAGUCGAACGUGAAAUCCCCGGGCUCAACCCGGGAACUGCGUCCGAUACUGGGAGGCUUGAAUCCGGGAGAGGGAUGUGGAAUUCCAGGUGUAGCGGUGAAAUGCGUAGAUAUCUGGAGGAACACCGGUGGCGAAGGCGGCAUCCUGGGCCAACACUGACACUGAGGAGCGAAAGCCAGGGGAGCAAACGGG
rnacentral:rRNA from 1 species